rnacentral:rRNA from 1 species
GCUUGUUGCGCACUUACGGCGUGCCUUGUUACCAUUUAUGGCUGACUAUCUGACCACGGUUGAGUAAUGUGUGGAAACUAUACUGAUGGAGGGGGAUAACUACUGGAAACGGUAGCUAAUACCGCAUAACGUCGCAAGACCAAAGAGGGGGACCUUCGGGCCUCUUGCCAUCAGAUGUGCCCAGAUGGGAUUAGCUAGUAGGUGGGGUAAUGGCUCACCUAGGCGACGAUCCCUAGCUGGUCUGAGAGGAUGACCAGCCACACUGGAACUGAGACACGGUCCAGACUCCUACGGGAGGCAGCAGUGGGGAAUAUUGCACAAUGGGCGCAAGCCUGAUGCAGCCAUGCCGCGUGUGUGAAGAAGGCCUUCGGGUUGUAAAGCACUUUCAGCGAGGAGGAAGGUGGUGAGCUUAAUACGCUCAUCAAUUGACGUUACUCGCAGAAGAAGCACCGGCUAACUCCGUGCCAGCAGCCGCGGUAAUACGGAGGGUGCAAGCGUUAAUCGGAAUUACUGGGCGUAAAGCGCACGCAGGCGGUUUGUUAAGUCAGAUGUGAAAUCCCCGGGCUCAACCUGGGAACUGCAUUUGAAACUGGCAAGCUAGAGUCUCGUAGAGGGGGGUAGAAUUCCAGGUGUAGCGGUGAAAUGCGUAGAGAUCUGGAGGAAUACCGGUGGCGAAGGCGGCCCCCUGGACGAAGACUGACGCUCAGGUGCGAAAGCGUGGGGGAGCAAAACAGGAUUAGAUACCCUGGUAGUCCACGCUGUAAACGAUGUCGAUUUGGAGGUUGUGCCCUUGAGGCGUGGCUUCCGGAGCUAACGCGUUAAAUCGACCGCCUGGGGGAGUACGGCCGCAAGGUUAAAAC